rnacentral:rRNA from 1 species
AUUGAACGCUGGCGGCAGGCCUAACACAUGCAAGUCGAGCGGAUGAAGGGAGCUUGCUCCUGGAUUCAGCGGCGGACGGGUGAGUAAUGCCUAGGAAUCUGCCUGGUAGUGGGGGAUAACGUCCGGAAACGGGCGCUAAUACCGCAUACGUCCUGAGGGUGAAAGUGGGGGAUCUUAGGACCUCACGCUAUCAGAUGAGCCUAGGUCGGAUUAGCUAGUUGGUGGGGUAAAGGCCUACCAAGGCGACGAUCCGUAACUGGUCUGAGAGGAUGAUCAGUCACACUGGAACUGAGACACGGUCCAGACUCCUACGGGAGGCAGCAGUGGGGAAUAUUGGACAAUGGGCGAAAGCCUGAUCCAGCCAUGCCGCGUGUGUGAAGAAGGUCUUCGGAUUGUAAAGCACUUUAAGUUGGGAGGAAGGGCAGUAAGUUAAUACCUUGCUGUUUUGACGUUACCAACAGAAUAAGCACCGGCUAACUUCGUG